UACGUAGGGACCAAGCGUUGUUCGGAUUUACUGGGCGUAAAGGGCGCGUAGGCGGCUUGACAAGUCAGUUGUGAAAUCUCCGGGCUUAACUCGGAACGGCCAAGUGAAACUGUCAUGCUAGAGUGCAGAAGGGGCAAUCGGAAUUCUUGGUGUAGCGGUGAAAUGCGUAGAUAUCAAGAGGAACACCUGAGGUGAAGACGGGUUGCUGGGCUGACACUGACGCUGAGGCGCGAAAGCCAGGGGAGCAAACGGG
rnacentral:rRNA from 1 species